rnacentral:rRNA from 1 species
GAUGAACGCUGGCGGCGUGCCUAAUACAUGCAAGUCGAGCGAACAGACGAGGAGCUUGCUCCUCUGACGUUAGCGGCGGACGGGUGAGUAACACGUGGAUAACCUACCUAUAAGACUGGGAUAACUUCGGGAAACCGGAGCUAAUACCGGAUAAUAUAUUGAACCGCAUGGUUCAAUAGUGAAAGACGGUUUUGCUGUCACUUAUAGAUGGAUCCGCGCCGCAUUAGCUAGUUGGUAAGGUAACGGCUUACCAAGGCAACGAUGCGUAGCCGACCUGCGAGGGUGAUCGGCCACACUGGAACUGAGACACGGUCCAGACUCCUACGGGAGGCAGCAGUAGGGAAACGUCAGGAAUGGGCGAAAGCCUGACGGAGAAACGCCGCGUGAGUGAUGAAGGUCGUCGGAUCGUAAAACUCUGUUAUUAGGGAAGAACAAAUGUGUAAGUAACUAUGCACGUCUGGAAGGUACAUAAUCAGAAAGGCACGGCUAACUACGUG